CGUAAAAUAGAUCGAGGAAAUGAACACAUACCCGUGGAGGAGGAGAUCAUCGUGGAGAGCCAUCCGCGCGUUCGGGCGAGACGUAUCGGAUUUCUGGAGGUGACGCCGUGAUUUUCCGUUGCCGGAGAACGAGGAGAUCCGGGAGGAGUUAGGAGGAGACGGAAAAAGAGGUAGAAACAUGGUGUGACGAUUGCUACCAGCAUGCGGAGGAUGGAGAAUAAUAGUGCUUGGAUCACCGAUGACCGCAGAAACAAACAACGAAGACCACAGAAACAACACAAAAAUCGAGAGGAUCACGAUAUCGGUAGUAGACGAGGACAGUGCCCAGGUGAAUCGUGCCAUAAUUCGUCAAUCACCGAUCUGUUGUGUCUGCGGAUCGAGAGAGACAAAUGAAUUGGCCCUAUAACUCUUGUUCUCUCACACAACAGUUUGAGAGCUAGAGCGAGAGAUGAGAGAGAUUUUCCGUUCCGGUAAGGAGGUCCGAUCAAGUCAUCGGCGACUGUGAGCAAUGUUUUGUGGCACAUAGAAAUAGAAAAGCUUAUUCCUUCUCAUUCGAAAUCGAAAUCGCCAUCGCCAUUACGACGUGGAUGAUGUAUCGGAUCUAAAAGGUAAAUAGUUCGAAUAAAGCCUUCAAUUCUACUCAACUUCUAACUUAAAUUCUUUUUCUUUAACGUGUAGUUAGGUCAAAAGUUUUAUAUCCAAAUGCCAAAAUAGGCGUUACAUUACCUUUAAACUAUUAAUAUUUAGAGUAUUUUAUAAGAAUGUUAUUUCAGUUUAAAACAUCGUUUUGAGAAAAUAUUGCGAAUUUAUUUACUGAGUAGACGAAUGUCCGUGCGUUACGCAGAAACACUUAUAUAGUUAAAGUUUUUAUAAAUAUAUGAUUUUUUAAAUAUAAUAAUAACGUUGUUGUUAAAUUUGAUAUAAUAAUUUGUAUAUACUAAAUUGAUAUAAUAUAUUGAUUAUUUUGAAUUAUAUAAUAAUAUAUACAUUUAUUAUAACUUCAUAAUCUAAAUCGUUUGAAUGACUUCUACCCGCGAGUUACAAUAAAAUUAAAUAUAAUAUAUGAUUUGAUGUUAUUUAUAGUUGUUUUUAUUGUUAAUUAAUUUUUUAAAACUUAUUUGCUUAAUGUUUUAAUUUCUAUCAUUAUAAUUAUUUAAAACAUCAAACAUUGUUUUUUAUUUUAAAGCUAACAAUAUAAUCAUUUAUAUAGAGUUGUUUUUAACUAUUGUUAUUGUAAGUUAUUUUAAGCUACUUAUUUGGAAACUUUUAACGAUUAUAAAAAUAUAUUUAAGAAAUAUUUUAGUUAAUUUGAAAUUACAAUUUAGUUUUUAUUUUUAUCACUUUUAACUAUUUAAAAAAUAUUCUUUAGUUUUUUCAAAUGAAACUGAAAUUUAUAUUUGAGUUGACAUUCUAAUGCGCAGAAACACCUAUAUAGUUGAAGUCUUUACAAAUAUAUAUAUUUUAAAAUAUAACACUAACGUUGUUGUUAAAUUUGAUAUAAUAAUUCGUAUAUUAAUUUGAUAUAAUAUAUUGACUAUUUUGAAUUAUAUGAUAAUAUAUAAAUAUAUUAUAACGUCAUAAUCUCAAUCGUUUGAAUGACUUCUACUCGCGAGUUACACAUCAAUAAAAUUAAAUAUUAUAUAUGGUUUAAUAUUAUUUAUAGUUGUUAUUUUUAACUAAUUUUUUAAAAUAUAUUUGCUUAAUGUUUUAAUUUCUAUCAUUAUAAUUAUUUAAAACAUCAAACAUUAUUUUUUGAUUUUAAAGGUAACAAUAUAAUCAUUUAUAUAGAGUUAUUUUUAACUAUUGUUAUUAUAAGUUAUUUUAAGCUACUUAUUUGAAAAUUUUUAACGAUUAUAUAAAUAUAUUUAGGAAAUAUUUUAGCUAAACUAAUAUUACAAUUUAGUUUUUGCAUUUAUCACUUUAUCACUUUUAACUAUUUACAAAACAUUAUUUGGUUUUUUUUAAUAGAACUGAACAUUAUAUUUAAGUUGACGCUGUAAUGUUAUAUUUAAAUUAACAAUUUAAGUAUUUUGUUAAAACUAUUCAAAAAUUACAGCUUUAAAUUGAUAAUGGUUUACAUGCAACAACAUUUUAAAUCUAAUAAAUUAAGUAUAAUAUGUUAAAAUUUAAAGACAUAACUUUAUAAAUAAAAGUAAAGAUAUUAUUUUAAAAUUGAAAUUUAGUCUAUUUAUGAUUACACUUUAUGUUUGAUAUUUAUUUAACAUUAUUAACCAACUUACAAUCAUUAUUAGAAAUACACUACAAUUUAUCACUUUUAACUAUUUAUAAAAUAAUCUUUGGGUUGUUUAAGUUAAAUAAAAUUUAUAUUUAAGUUGAGCCUAUAAUGUUAUAUUUUAAUUAAUAAUUUAAGUAUUUUAUACAAAUUGUUCAAAAAUUAUACCUUUAAAAUGAUAAUGGUUUACAUCCAACAAUAUAUUAAAACUAAUAAAUUAAGUAUAAUAUGUUAAAAGUUAAAAAACAUAAUUUUAUAAGUAGAAUUAAAGAUAUUAUUUUAAUAUUGAAAAUUAGUUUAUAUAUGAAUACAUUUUAGAUUUGAUAUUUAUUUAACCUAAUUACCAAAUUAUAAUUAUUAUUAUAAAGAAAUUGAAAAGUCAUGGGAGUUUCAAAUGAAUGUGGUGAAAGAAAAAAAGAAUGGGGGUUUCAAAUACAUGAGAUUCAAGAAAAAAUGUCAGGUUUAUAAGUAUGUAUGAUUUAUCAAAAUAAAAUAUAGUAUCACAUAUUAAAGACACUUUAUCUUUACCCUUUUCUUAUUUUUACGAAACAUUUUUUUACAAUCUCUCAACGUAAGACUUUGUUUUGAUAAUAUAAAUCUUUAUUUUGCUACAAAAAUGAUUUUUAAGAUCCUUAACGUAAAAAACUUUAAAACAAUGAAUUAUUAAUAUAUAAUCAUGAAUUUCAUAAAAGCUUUAAAACAAUGAAUUAUUGACAUAUAAUCACUACAGGAGAUGAAGAAAUCCAAGUAAUAUCAAGGACAAGGGCAUUAGCGGCAACAUCUUUCUUUGGCCAACUCCAACCUCAUUACUAUACGUUACAUUAUUUUUGUGUAAAAUUAACAUUAAAACUCUUUUCAACUCUAACCACACACUAAAAAAUUACACUAAAAUAUAUUUUAAUAUUAUAAAUUAUAAAGAAUAAUUAUAAAAAACUAAAAACAAUUAAAAUAAUACUAUAUAAAAG
rnacentral:lncRNA from 1 species